rnacentral:rRNA from 1 species
UACGAGAGGUGCAAGCGCUAUCCGGAAUUAUUGGGCGUAAAGCGUCCGCAGCUUCUUUAGAAAGUCUAGGGUUAAAUUACAACGCUCACCGUUGUAUCGGUCCUGGAAACUUCUAGAGUAGAGGUUGGUAGAGGUAAGCGGAAUUCCUAUUGUAGGGGUAAAAUCCGUAGAUAAUAGGAGGAACACCAAAAGCGAAGGCAGCUUACUGGACCAAAUCUGACAGUCAUGGACGAAAGCGUGGGGAGCAAACAGG